rnacentral:rRNA from 1 species
CCUGAGAAACCCAAAAGAUCGAAUGGGGAGAUUCAUCGUCAGCGGUACUGGUACGUGUGCGGUUCGCGAUGUCCGGGACUUUGCGUCUCGUGGCACGCGUCCGUAUGUUUUUAUUGCCUGGUAUCGUCGGCGUGCACUUCUCCCCUAGUAGGACGUCGCGACCCGUUGGGUGUCGGUCUACGGCCCGGGUGGGCGCCUGUUCCGUGUGCGCUUUAUCGCGUCACUGCGGGGCAGACCCCCGGUUGCCCGACCGGCUGCUCGGCGGUACUCGCAAGGUAUCUGGCCGCAAAUAUUCGAACUGCGUCCGGCCCGUCGCAAGCGCGGGCGAGUGUUCCCGAAUGCACGGAUCUAAUGCCGUCAUCGGGCCUCACCAGCUGUUGGCCGACGGUGUCCUAGGACUGGCUAUAACAAUUAUGAUACCGGUCAGCGACGCUACUGCUUUGGGUACUUUCAGGA